rnacentral:sRNA from 1 species
GAAGGACGGGCAGCCGGUUGAGGCCGAUCGGAGGUGAGGGUCCCGAUGUCCUGGUGUACAGCUUGGACUUUGGUGGGCAUCUGCGGAUGAUAAAGCGAGUGCAGAACCUGCUUGGCCACUAUCUUAUCCAUGGCUUUCGGCCUGCCUGAUUGGAGACGCCUGGAAGGAGCUGACCAUAGUGGCAGGUGCUGUUUCCAACCAGCUCUUGGUCUGGUACCCAGCAACUGCCUUAGCAGACAACAAACCUGUAGCACCUGACCGACGAAUCAGUGGGCAUGUGGGCAUCAUCUUCAGCAUGUCAUACCUGGAAAGCAAGGGUUUGCUGGCUACAGCUUCAGAAGACCGAAGCGUUCGUAUCUGGAAGGUGGGCGACCUGCGAGUGCCUGGGGGUCGGGUGCAGAAUAUUGGGCACUGCUUUGGGCAUAGCGCCCGUGUGUGGCAGGUCAAGCUUCUAGAGAAUUACCUUAUCAGUGCAGGAGAGGACUGUGUCUGCUUGGUGUGGAGCCAUGAAGGUGAGAUCCUCCAGGCCUUUCGGGGACACCAGGGACGUGGG